rnacentral:rRNA from 1 species
AAACCGCAUGGUUUUGAUUUGAAAGGCGCUUUCGGGUGUCGCUGAUGGAUGGACCCGCGGUGCAUUAGCUAGUUGGUGAGGUAACGGCUCACCAAGGCCACGAUGCAUAGCCGACCUGAGAGGGUGAUCGGCCACAUUGGGACUGAGACACGGCCCAAACUCCUACGGGAGGCAGCAGUAGGGAAUCUUCGGCAAUGGACGAAAGUCUGACCGAGCAACGCCGCGUGAGUGAAGAAGGUUUUCGGAUCGUAAAACUCUGUUGUUAGAGAAGAACAAGGAUGAGAGUAACUGUUCAUCCCUUGACGGUAUCUAACCAGAAAGCCACGGCUAACUACGUGCCAGCAGCCGCGGUAAUACGUAGGUGGCAAGCGUUGUCCGGAUUUAUUGGGCGUAAAGCGAGCGCAGGCGGUUUCUUAAGUCUGAUGUGAAAGCCCCCGGCUCAACCGGGGAGGGUCAUUGGAAACUGGGAGACUUGAGUGCAGAAGAGGAGAGUGGAAUUCCAUGUGUAGCGGUGAAAUGCGUAGAUAUAUGGAGGAACACCAGUGGCGAAGGCGGCUCUCUGGUCUGUAACUGACGCUGAGGCUCGAAAGCGUGGGGAGCAAACAGGAUUAGAUACCCUGGUAGUCCACGCCGUAAACGAUGAGUGCUAAGUGUUGGAGGGUUUCCGCCCUUCAGUGCUGCAGCUAACGCAUUAAGCACUCCGCCUGGGGAGUACGACCGCAAGGUUGAAACUCAAAGGAAUUGACGGGGGCCCGCACAAGCGGUGGAGCAUGUGGUUUAAUUCGAAGCAACGCGAAGAACCUUACCAGGUCUUGACAUCCUUUGACCACUCUAGAGAUAGAG